GACGAACGCUGGCGGCGUGCUUAACACAUGCAAGUCGAACGGAAAGGCCCUGCUUGCAGGGUACUCGAGUGGCGAACGGGUGAGUAACACGUGGGUGAUCUGCCCUGCACUUCGGGAUAAGCCUGGGAAACUGGGUCUAAUACCGGAUAGGAGCCAUUUUUAGUGUGAUGGUUGGAAAGUUUUUUCGGUGUAGGAUGAGCUUGCGGCCUAUCAGCUUGUUGGUGGGGUAAUGGCCUACCAAGGCGGCGACGGGUAGCCGGCCUGAGAGGGUGGACGGCCACAUUGGGACUGAGAGACGGCCCAGGCUCCUACGGGAGGCAGCAGUGGGGAAUAUUGCACAAUGGGCGCAAGCCUGGUGCAGCGACGCCGCGGGGGGGAUGACGGCCUUCGGGUUGUAAACUCCUUUCGCUAGGGACGAAGCUUUUUGUGACGGUACCUAGAUAAGAAGCACCGGCUAACUACGUG
rnacentral:rRNA from 1 species